ensembl:miRNA dre-mir-430b-18 microRNA 430b-18
CAGUUGAGGUCAACUCUAACUUUAGCAUCUUUCUUUUAAGCAAAGUAGAAAGUGCUAUCAAGUUGGGGUAGAUGUUUGUUG